rnacentral:rRNA from 1 species
GCCUUUAGAGUUUGGAUAUGGCUCAGAACGAACGCUGGCGGCAUGCCUAACACAUGCAAGUCGAACGAGACCUUCGGGGUUUAGUGGCGCACGGGUGCGUAACGCGUGGGAAUCUGCCCUUUGGUUCGGAAUAACACUUGGAAAUGGCUGCUAAUACCGGAUGAUGUCGAAAGUCCAAAGAUUUAUCGCCUUUGGAGGAGCCCGCGUAGGAUUAACUAGUUGGUGGGGUAAAGGCCUACCAAGGCGACGAUCCUUAGCUGGUCUUAGAGGAUGAUCAGCCACACUGGGACUGAGACACGGCCCAGACUCCUACGGGAGGCAGCGGUGGGGAAUAUUGGACAAUGGGCGAAAGCCCGAUCCAGCAAUGCCGCGUGAGUGAUGAAGGCCCUUUGGUUGUAAAGCUCUUUUACCGGGGAAGAUAAUGACUGUACCCGGAGAAUAAGCCCCGGCUAACUCCGUGCCAGCAGCCGCGGUAAU